rnacentral:rRNA from 1 species
AGAGUUUGAUCCUGGCUCAGAACGAACGCUGGCGGCAGGCCUCAUACAUGCAAGUCGAGCGAUUAAAGCCCCCUCGGGGGUGUAUAAAGCGGCGAACGGGUGAGUAACACGUGGAUAAUCUACCUUACGGUGGGGGAUAACGGCUGGAAACGGCCGCUAAUACCGCAUACGGUUGUUGAACCUCUUGGUUCGACAAAGAAAGGGGCCUUUAAAGCCCCGCCGGAAGAUGAGUCCGCGCCCCAUUAGCUAGUUGGCGGGAUAACAGCCCACCAAGGCAACGAUGGGUAGCCGAGCUGAGAGGUUGAUCGGCCACACUGGGACUGAGACACGGCCCAGACACCUACGGGUGGCAGCAGUAGGGAAUAUUGGACAAUGGGCGCAAGCCUGAUCCAGCCAUGCCGCGUGGAUGAUGAAGGCCUUCGGGUCGUAAAGUCCUUUUCUGAGGGAAGAACAAGCCGGGGAGGAAAUGCUCCGGCCCUGACGGUACUUCAGGAAUAAGCAACGGCUAACUCCGUGCCAGCAGCCGCGGUAAUACGGAGGUUGCAAGCGUUGUUCGGAAUAACUGGGCGUAAAGGGAGCGCAGGCGGCUUAGUCAGUCUAAAGUGAAAUUCCAGGGCUCAACCUUGGACGUGCUUUGGAUACUGCUGAGCUUGAGUACGUGAGAGGAGAGUGGAAUUCCAGGUGUAGCGGUGAAAUGCGUAGAUAUCUGGAGGAACACCGGUGGCGAAAGCGGCUCUCUGGCACGUUACUGACGCUGAGGCUCGAAAGCGUGGGGAGCGAACGGGAUUAGAUACCCCGGUAGUCCACGCCGUAAACGUUGUGCACUAGGUGUAGGAGGUAUCGACCCCUUCUGUGCCGCAGCUAACGCAUUAAGUGCACCGCCUGGGGAGUACGGUCGCAAGACUGAAACUCAAAGGAAUUGACGG